rnacentral:rRNA from 1 species
AUUGAACGCUGGCGGCAUGCUUUACACAUGCAAGUCGAACGGUAACAGGUUAAGCCGACGAGUGGCGAACGGGUGAGUAAUGCAUCGGAACGUGCCCGGUCGUGGGGGAUAACGCAGCGAAAGCUGCGCUAAUACCGCAUACGAUCUGAGGAUGAAAGCGGGGGACCGUAAGGCCUCGCGCGAUCGGAGCGGCCGAUGUCAGAUUAGGUAGUUGGUGGGGUAAAGGCUCACCAAGCCGACGAUCGGUAGCUGGUCUGAGAGGACGACCAGCCACACUGGGACUGAGACACGGCCCAGACUCCUACGGGAGGCAGCAGUGGGGAAUUUUGGACAAUGGGCGCAAGCCUGAUCCAGCAAUGCCGCGUGCAGGAAGAAGGCCUUCGGGUUGUAAACUGCUUUUGUACGGAGCGAAAAGGCUCUCUCUAAUACAGGGGGCUCAUGACGGUACCGUAAGAAUAAGCACCGGCUAACUACGUGCCAGCAGCCGCGGUAA